AGAGUUUGAUCAUGGCUCAGGACGAACGCUGGCGGCGUGCCUGAUACAUGCAAGUUGAGCGCUGAAGGUUGGUACUUGUACCAACUGGAUGAGCAGCGAACGGGUGAGUAACGCGUGGGGAAUCUGCCUUUGAGCGGGGGACAACAUUUGGAAACGAAUGCUAAUACCGCAUAAAAACUUUAAACACAAGUUUUAAGUUUGAAAGAUGCAAUUGCAUCACUCAAAGAUGAUCCCGCGUUGUAUUAGCUAGUUGGUGAGGUAAAGGCUCACCAAGGCGAUGAUACAUAGCCGACCUGAGAGGGUGAUCGGCCACAUUGGGACUGAGACACGGCCCAAACUCCUACGGGAGGCAGCAGUAGGGAAUCUUCGGCAAUGGACGAAAGUCUGACCGAGCAACGCCGCGUGAGUGAAGAAGGUUUUCGGAUCGUAAAACUCUGUUGGUAGAGAAGAACGUUGGUGAGAGUGGAAAGCUCAUCAAGUGACGGUAACUACCCAGAAAGGGACGGCUAACUACGUGCCAGCAGCCGCGGUAAUACGUAGGUCCCGAGCGUUGUCCGGAUUUAUUGGGCGUAAAGCGAGCGCAGGUGGUUUAUUAAGUCUGGUGUAAAAGGCAGUGGCUCAACCAUUGUAUGCAUUGGAAACUGGUAGACUUGAGUGCAGGAGAGGAGAGUGGAAUUCCAUGUGUAGCGGUGAAAUGCGUAGAUAUAUGGAGGAACACCGGUGGCGAAAGCGGCUCUCUGGCCUGUAACUGACACUGAGGCUCGAAAGCGUGGGGAGCAAGCAGGAUUAGAUGCCCUGGUAGUCCACGCCGUAAACGAUGAGUGCUAGAUGUAGGGAGCUAUAAGUUCUCUGUAUCGCAGCU
rnacentral:rRNA from 1 species